AGGACCUCAGGAGCCAGAGCUGGUCGUGCCUGGCGCUCCCCAGGACUGAGAGGCCCUGACUUCCAUGGGGGCGGCUGCCAGCCGGCGUGAGCCUUCGGGACUCCAAGGCCAGGCUCCUCUGAGCCCUCUUCUUCAUUCAACCUUGCUUGGCCCUUGAAGACUUGAACAAACACUAACAUAGUUUCAACCAGCUCAUGGCCGCAUCCCGAGUAGAACCCAAGCCUCCAUUAAAGUGCCUGCCUCAAAAGCUCAAGGCUGUCUAAAGAAUUUGCUGCUUAUUCCAGCCGACACCUGAGGAUAGGGCCCUUGUAUCCCAGCUUCCGGGAGAGGGUGCUGGAAGCCCACGAACCACAUUUCACAGAUUCCCUUGACAACAGAGUUCUGCCAAUAAAAUGUACCUGUGUGAAAUCUGGAAGGUGGAAGCCACUCUCUCCUCCUCUGCAGAGCAGACACGCAGGCUGUACGCUGGACUCCAUAUUCCCCCACUAGUCACCGGGCUUGGGACUGUGGGGUGGGGGCUGCCGUGACCUCAGCAGUCUGUUGAGUGGUGGCAGCAGCUUUGAAUCUAUGGAAAGCAGCUGUAACCUGAAAGCUAGUGAUGCGAUCCCCCCCCCCCCCACACUCACCACCGCUAGCCCCCCAGUGAUGAGCACCAAUUAUGUUUAUGGACAUCCGUCAUGACCUGAGCUGAAACCAAGAGUUGAAUGUUUAACCAACCUAACCACCCAGGAGCCACAGGAGUGGAGGAAUUUUUGCCUUUUCCGCAGACUGCGCCGCAUUAUCCCUUGGAAUCAUGCAGCCAUGAUCUGUGUUGGGUGA